rnacentral:lncRNA from 1 species
AAUUUUCAGGUUUCUCGUGGUGAAGAGAAGUUUAUUGGGAAUUAGUUAUUGGAUAAUUUUCCUGCGUAUUCCCUAUUCUCUCAAAUUUUAUAAUGUUCUUCAUUCUUAUCUUUGUAUGUUUGAGUGUUAUGUGUACUGUAUGUGUGUACUAGAAAAUUAAUUUUGAAUCCGUUAAUUUCUUAGUUUGUUUUCUAUCUUGAUAUUGCGUUGUCUAUUCCUCAUUUCUUUAAUUUCGUAUCAGCAUAAUUUGAUUUCCUUUCAAUGAUAUUGUGCCGUAAGAGUUAAUUUUCUUAUUCUCGUUUUUACAUUUGAUCUCCACUCCUUUCGCUACUUUCUAUAAGCGUAAGGAUAGAAUUUUCAGGUUUCCCGAGGAAAAGAGAAGUUUAUGGGGAAAUACUUGUCCAGUUAGUUUCCUCUGUAUCCCCUAUUUUCCUCUAUUUCGCAUUGUUCUUCAUUUUUUUUUUUUUUUUAUGUUUUAGUGUUAUUUGUUGACUGCAAGUAUGUAGUAGAGAAUUAUUUGUCAAUCCUUUGAUUUUUUUUUUUCUUAAAGCUUGAUGUUGUGUUUUCUAUUUCUCAUUUUUUUAAUUUCGUAUCAAAAUAAUUUGAUUUACUUUGAAGGACAUUGUGGUUUUAACAUUUAAUCUCUUCUCCUUUCUCUACCUUGCUUUAAGCGUAAGGGUAGAAUUUUCAGGUUUCUCUUGGUGAAGAGAAGAUUAUUGGGAAUUAGUUAUUGGAUAAGUUUCCUCUGUAUUCCCUAUUCUCUCAAAUUUUGCACUGUUGUUCAUUUUUCUUUUUUAUGUUUUCGUGUUAUAUGUCUACUCUAUGUGUGUACUAGAAAAUUAAUUUGUAAUCCGUUAAUUUCUUUGUUUGCAUUUGAUCUUGAUGUUGCGUUGUCUAUUCCUCGUUUCUUUAAUUUUGUAUCAGCAUAAUUUGAGUUCCUUUCAACAAUAUUGUGCCUUGAGAGUUAAUUUUCUUAUUCUUGUUUUUACAUAUGAGCUCUACUCCUUUUGCUACCUUCUAUAAGCGUAAGGGUAGAAUUUUCAAGUUUCCUGAGGAAAAGAGAAGUUUAUCGAGAAAUACUUGUUAGGUAAGUUUCCUCCGUAUCCCCUAUUCUCCUCCAUUUCGCAUUGUUCUUCAUUCUUCUAUUUUAUGUUUGAGUGUUAUUUGUUGACCGCAUGUAUGUAGUAGAGAAUUAAUUUUCAAUUAUUUGAUUUCUUUGGUUUUUUUUUAAAGCUUGAUGUUGUGUUUUCUAUUCCUCAUUUUUUUAGUUUCGUAUCAGAAUAAUUUGAUUUACUUCGAAGGACAUUGUGGUUUUAAUAUUUGAUCUCUACUCAUUUCUCUACCUUGUUUUAAAUGUAAGGGUAGAAUUUUCAGGUUUCUCGUGGUGAAGAGAAGUUUAUUGGGAAUUAGUUAUUGGAUAAUUUUCCUGCGUAUUCCCUAUUCUCUCAAAUUUUAUAAUGUUCUUCAUUCUUAUCUUUGUAUGUUUGGGUGUUAUGUAUACUGUAUGUGUGUAGUAGAAAAUUAAUUUUGAAUCCGUUAAUUUUUUUAUUUGUUUUUUAUCUUGAUGUUGUGUUGUCUAUUCCUCAUUUCUUUAAUUUCAUAUCAGCAUAAUUGGAUUUCCUUUAACCAAUAUUGUGACUUAAGAGUUAAUUUUUUUAUUCUAGUUUUUACAUUUGAUCUCUACUCCUUUCACUACCUUCUAUAAGCAUAAAGGUAGAAUUUUCUAGUUUCCUAAGGAAAAGAGAAGUUUAUUGGGAAAUACUUGAGAAGUAAGUUUCUUCCGUAUCCCCUAUUCUUU